CUACGGGUGGCUGCAGUGGGGAAUAUUGCACAAUGGGCGCAAGCCUGAUGCAGCAACGCCGCGUGAGGGAUGAAGGCCUUCGGGUUGUAAACCUCUUUUAGCAGGGAAGAAGCGAAAGUGACGGUACCUGCAGAAAAAGCACCGGCUAACUACGUGCCAGCAGCCGCGGUAAUACGUAGGGUGCAAGCGUUGUCCGGAAUUAUUGGGCGUAAAGAGCUCGUAGGCGGUUUGUCACGUCUGCUGUGAAAAUCCAAGGCUCAACCUUGGACUUGCAGUGGGUACGGGCAGGCUAGAGUGCGGUAGGGGAGAUGGGAAUUCCUGGUGUAGCGGUGGAAUGCGCAGAUAUCAGGAGGAACACCAAUGGCGAAGGCACAUCUCUGGGCCGUAACUGACGCUGAGGAGCGAAAGCGUGGGGAGCGAACAGGAUUAGAUACCCGGGUAGUC
rnacentral:rRNA from 1 species